rnacentral:lncRNA from 1 species
GACCACCGUUCACAUCGUUCUCCUUCCUUCCUGCUUUCCUUUGCCUGCAGGUUCCACCACCUUAGGGCUGGCUGGUCCCAUUGCAGUGCCUUCCAGGGUCCAGCUCAGACCUACAUCCGGACUCAAAGCCCUCCCUCUCAACGCUCGAAGGACCCGUCAACAGAUGCAGCCUUGAAGAGUCACUCAGUUUGUGUCUUGACAUCCCAGAAAGUUCGAAGGCAACUGGGCAGACGCCAAACCAAGCACUUUUUCUGCUCCCACUUACCACAAAAAGUACAUUGCUUUCACAUGGAGAAAAAUCUGUUUGACACUGAUUAAAAUAAUGUUUUAUUGUGUGUUUAUUGAGGUAUAAUUGACAAAUAAAUUUGGAAGAUAUUUAAAGUGUACGUAGUGAUGAUUUGAUAUACGUGUACAUUGUGAAAACAUUCCUCCCCUCUAGUUAACUAACACCUCCAUCACCAACGCUGACUUUUCAAGACCGUUGUGAAUUUCUGUCUUCCGUUGUCGUGAAGAAGAGCUUCAAGGGUGACCAGGAUGACCAGAAUUAGACCUGAUGAAACUGAAUUCAGACAGUUGGAUGUGGACGUAAUAGAGAAGGGCCUUUCUCGGAUUGGUUCUCUUCCAGGUGCCUUGAAAUUUCAUCCACUUUUGGGUUUCCUCUGGCAGCAUCAUUUCACUGAGUGAUGUUUCAAGUGUGUAGCGACUCUCCUGCAAGUAAAUGUUGCAGCUCACAAACCUGUUUACUACAAAGUAUACUAUUAAUAGGAGAUUUCUGAAAGCCUUUGUUUCCAUUAAGGACUAUUAUUAUUACCAUCAUCAUUAUUAUUAUUAAUGUUGCUUCAAGUGAAAGCAUUGAGGUGGCUCUGGAUUGGAGAUGUGGCAAUGUUACUGUAAAAUCAAAAGCCAUUGUCAAG